UUCUAGACUCUGCUGACCCUGGAAAAACACCAAUGCAAACUCUGGGUCCAAAUUCAAUAGUGGGAGCAGUUCCUUCAGUGAAUAUAGCUCUCUCAAAUCCGACAGGGAUUUUGCCCAAGCCAGCAGGAACUGUGCAGGUUCCUUCUCAAAUGGCUCCCGCGGUGAGCACUUUUAUGAUAUUCUGAGGAUUUGGAAUUAUACUUGUCUGAAGCAUGUGCAUCUUAGACAUUUUAGGAACUUUCUCUCUAAUUGUUUUGAUCCAAUUUAUACAUAAACAUACUUAUUUUUGUUUUUGUUUUCAUCAGGAAAUAUUUAUACUUAAUAGAUUUUAUCAAAUAUAUUUAAAAGUAUUUAAAUACCCCUAACUAAUUUUAGAAGUACUUCAUUCCCUCUCCUUUUCACUUUUAGAUUAUAGUUAAGUAAUUAAUUAAUUAUUUAAGUUUAUGUAAUAUAGAUAUGUAAAUUAUUAAAUCAGAUUAUAUGUAUUGCUGUUAAAACUUAGAAUCCUUGGUACUUGUUUUUUCAAAUAUGGUUGAUAUUAAAAACUCAAAUAUUAACAACUGAAAAAGAAAGGAGAGUCAAUGAUACUGUACCCCUUUUAAAUUUGACAUGUGGCUUGGGGAUUAUCAUCCAUAAUCACCUAGUCACCGCUUAACACUGUUAUAAAGGUCAAUACUGCUGGUGAAUCUUUUAAUUGAGUGACUAACUAGGAUUCUUUUGGAGCUCUCCUUAAUAUCAG
rnacentral:lncRNA from 1 species